GGUGGUUCUCGGGUGACGCACGCCAGAAUCAGUCUCCCUCCUCUCUGGUUCCAGGUUCGUCACCUGACAACUGCA
rfam:Myotis lucifugus cont2.30264, whole genome shotgun sequence.